rnacentral:rRNA from 1 species
GACGAACGCUGGCGGCGUGCUUAACACAUGCAAGUCGAACGGAAAGGCCCUGCUUUUGUGGGGUGCUCGAGUGGCGAACGGGUGAGUAACACGUGAGUAACCUGCCCUUGACUUUGGGAUAACUUCGGGAAACUGGGGCUAAUACCGGAUAGGAGCUCCUGCUGCAUGGUGGGGGUUGGAAAGUUUCGGCGGUUGGGGAUGGACUCGCGGCUUAUCAGCUUGUUGGUGGGGUAGUGGCUUACCAAGGCUUCGACGGGUAGCCGGCCUGAGAGGGUGACCGGCCACAUUGGGACUAAGAUACGGCCCAGACUCCUACGGGAGGCAGCAGUGGGGAAUAUUGCACAAUGGGCGGAAGCCUGAUGCAGCAACGCCGCGUGCGGGAUGACGGCCUUCGGGUUGUAAACCGCUUUCGCCUGUGACGAAGCGUGAGUGACGGUAAUGGGUAAAGAAGCACCGGCUAACUACGUG